UACGUAGGGUGCAAGCGUUGUCCGGAAUUAUUGGGCGUAAAGAGCUCGUAGGCGGUCUGUCGCGUCGGCUGUGAAAACUCGGGGCUCAACCCCGAGCCUGCAGUCGAUACGGGCAGACUAGAGUGCUGUAGGGGAGACUGGAAUUCCUGGUGUAGCGGUGAAAUGCGCAGAUAUCAGGAGGAACACCGGUGGCGAAGGCGGCAUCCUGGACCAUGACUGACGCUGAGGAGCGAAAGCCAGGGGAGCAAACGGG
rnacentral:rRNA from 1 species